rnacentral:lncRNA from 1 species
UCUUGGUUAGAUUCGGGCGUGCGCUAAUCUAAUCAGGGCGGGCGGCUGACCCGAGACAUCCCAUGUGCGCAGGGCCACUAAACUACGCAACCGCACGCCUCCCUGUCCUCCGGUCGCCGGCCGCUUGCCACCACAUCCACAUCCACACACCACACACGACACAGAUAAGUGAGGCGUAAUUAUUCAAUCAAGCGAUCAUUCAUUCGAGAUCAUCAUCAUUAAGAGCGGAGCGGCGUCAUUGACUAAUCAGGUUUGGAUGUGAGCCAUGACACCAGCCGGGACACCUUGCCCCCUCUUUUACUCAACCUGUCUUUUCCUUAUGAUGAGCGCUGCGAGAUGAUGACGGUGAUGAAAAUGGAUACUACCUUUUUCAUUUUUAAAUAUAAAUUAUUUCAGAGAUUUUAAUACGAACUACUCCCUCGGUAAACUAAUAUAAAAGCAUUUAGAUCACUGUUUUAGUUAUCUAAACACUUUUAUAUUCCCUCCGUUCUAAAAUUUUUGUCUUAAGUUUGUUUAGAAAUGAAUGUAUCAAAAUACUAAAACGUGACUAGAUACAUUCAUAUCUAGAUAAAUUUAAGACAAGAAUUUUAGAACGAAGGGAGUAUUAGUUUACAGAAGGGAUAUAUAUGAAUGUAUAUAGAUGCGUUUUAGAAUGGAUAAAUUGUACUCCCUCCGUAAACCAAUAUAAAAGCAUUUAAAUCACUACUUUAGUAAUCUAAACACUCUUAUAUUAGUUUACAAAGGGAGUGGCAUGCUCUUUUUAUUUUAUUUUACAUGUAUGAUAAGAAUGUAAGAAUUAAUCAACAGCUCAAAUCUACUCCCUCUGUAUCAUAAUAUUUGUUGUUGGGAAGAACUAGUUUAGUUCUCUCCAACAACAAAUAUUAUGGAACAGAGGGAGUAUUAUAUAAUCUUAACUCUCAUGUGAAAAGAAGGGAUAAGAGAAAACAUGUUAAAACUGUUCGAAUGAGUGUAAAUUCAACUAUUUUGCUUGUUAUGUACUCGUCUAUAUUAAAAAAUUUGAAAGAAACUUAUAUUUUGGAAGAGAGUGAGGCGACCUGUAGAAGCUCCUUUUUCUUUCUUUCUUUCUUUUUAAGAGUGAGGCGAUGAUGAAAAGUUUAAAGUUUAAUAAGUAGAGUGGCACGCAAUGUUGUUUUGCCUGCAGAAAGUCUCUGAUCAGAAAGCCUGCCCGCUUCUCUCAUCACUGGUCGUCACUACUGGUGGUACGCGUCUCAUGAAUUCCUUUUUUUUGUUCUUCUCUGCGCCCCCGCUAGCCCCUGCUCUUGAUCCUUGGUCUGAAGUCUGAACGAGUCGCGCCUUACGGGCAGGCAAAACCGACCCGUUUCAGCAGGUCACCCCGUCUGAACAUCUGGAGUUGUGGACUCAUCAUCUGAUCUGAACUGAUCUUGACCUGGUUUGGUGCGCGGAAGAGAUCCACGGCGACGGGCGCAGGCAGCAGCAGCCACAUGCGUCAUGGUCCGGCCGAUGCGUCGUACCGGAACCAACCGACCGACCCGGCAAAGGUUUCAGUGAUCGGAUUCAGAUCCCAGCCCGGACUUGCCAAUCCGCGGCGGAGAUCUUCUCAUGAUUCUCUUUAUAUCUACUGCAGGUUCCGCGGACGUUCGUGCUCGCCGCCUGGCAUGCAUCCACGGAGCAAGAAUCCCCUCCUGCCGGUGUCUCCCAUAUCCAAGCACCAUGCUAUGACCUGACUCAACCCCACAACAACUUCAACGGAACAAUCCAUUUUGUUCGUCGCUGUUUGUCUGAGACCGUGCGGACAAAAGUGCUGACCUAAGCGUCCAUCCAUUUUUAAAACGCGUCCGUGUCAAUCAAUUUUCGGCUUAAAUUUGGGACCGAAAUGCGUCGGUGCGGACGCGUGCGCCCUUUCUGUGUCCGUCCCAACCACCAAGGUCAACAUUAUUUAUGAUGACCGCCUCCUCAGGCCCACGCGUCAGCGUCCGCGGUCGGCCUUUUUUAAUCCGAGCGUACGAUGGGUUCCGCCUCAUCGAGAACCCAUCCGUCCCCAUCUCGUCACCUCAUCGACCGGCUCCUACCAAAACAAGGGCAAGGCCCCACUCUACCCCCACGCCAUCUCCCCGGCGACGACUUCCCGCCGGACUCGCCAGCGUGUCAACGUCCCGGUGCACCAUGCGCGGUGGCACUGGAAACACCGUGUGUCGUUGCCUUACCCUGAUGUCACCCUCCCGCACCACUGGCAUCUGGAUCCGGAGAGGAUCCGGUGUCGGCUGUGCCACGGUGAACGCAUUUUGCAUGUGAAGGAGGUGAGUCACCGUCGGCGUCUACCGACGCCGGAGCAACGGCUCAACCCUGCCUAUACGGCCGACUCCUCCAACUGGCAGCUCUGGUUCGCGGUCGAGCACGAGGAGCAGCGCCCGCGUGGCGUGCGCGACGUGCAGCCAGGAGGCCCUCCGCCGUCCCCGACUCUCGUCAGCGAGGAGGACCAGGAGGCUGAGGCCGCCUACCAGGCGACGCUGACAGCUGUUCUCCGCGAGAGUGAGGAGGAAGAGACGUACCAAUAGUGGCUCGUGGAGGCCAUCGCAUUGUCGGCCGCCGGUUGAUGGAGGUGAAGAAGGAGGCGGAGGAGGAACGACGGAAGAUGGAGGAGGAGGAGUGCGCCCGUGCCGCGCUGCACCGCCACCAACACAGCACGCGUCAACGAGAUAGACGACGAAGGCGCGGGCAGCUGCGCUCUGAAACACGGCAUUCCCCUGGGCCGGUCCUACGCUGGUCAACUUCACCGGCCCCGACGACGACAUCGUCGCCUAAGGUUGUCUCCUAGUUUAGGUUUUUUUAAUGUUUAAUUAAUGUCUCCUAGUUUAAGGUUUUUUAAUGUUUAAUUAAUGUAAUGAAGACGCUAGGCUCUCGUCGGCCUUCAUGAUCAGCUUUUAAUGUUUAAUUAUGCUUAUUUAUUAUUUCCGUCCUGGUUUUCUUUUCAUGCGACGGUAAAAAUAGGUCAAGCGAGUGUUGGACGCAUGUGCCGACCCAAACGCUGAAGCAGACGUUGGCAUCCGUCCGACCGACACAAAUGAACGAAAAGCGGACAAAAUGACCAUUCGUUUGGGUCUUUCAGUUGAACUUGCUCUCACAAACAUGCUGCUGCCCAUGGAAGAAACAUUCCAGUUUGAGACUUAGGAGACAUUGUAGAUUGAUGAUUCGUCAGAAAUCGUGACUAUUUUGCCUCCUCGCUGUUGGGGUCCUCCGGCCAGGAGACGUGAAAAUGUUGACAUGCCACCACAGUAAAAACCAUGCAGGUCAUCCAUGCCACCAAACUACUCGCUCCGUUCCUAAAUACUCCAUAAUUCUUUUUAGAUGUUUCAUUAAAAGACUACAUACGGAUGUAUAUAGACAUAUUUUAGAGUGUAGAUUCACUCAUUUUGCUCCGUAUGUAGUCUCCUAGUAAAAUCUCUAAAAAGACUUAUAUUUAAGAACGGAGGGAGUAGAAGCCAGCAGGUAAACAGGGGAUACAUAGCUUAAUAGCUUAAUAGUUUACGGCCCCAGCUAGGCAUCUACGCGGUGCUGAAAUGAAAAAUGAUGGAUUCUCGGGCACUUUUCAUCGUUCCCGACAGUAGAUUGGGUGCCCCUUGUUGCAGUUUUCUGCGAAAGAAAUGGAAGAAACAUAUGGAGUGAUUAGUAGGUCAAUUCAUGCCCAAACGCGGGGAAGAAAAGGAGAUUCAAAACAUGCAGAGCAAAAUGUGAGGUUUGCAGUAGCAAGUCAAAAGAAGUGUCAAGUAAUUCUUUUGUCGUAGGAGUUGUUUCCUACUCCCUUCGUUCACAAAUAUAUAUAAGAUGUUCUACUCCCUCCGAUCCAAAUUAAUUAACGCACACUUAGCACAAGUUGAAAGUUGUACUAAGUUUGCGCCAAUUAAUAUGGAUAGGAGGGACUAACUUUUUUCCUGAAUCGGAUGUUUAGUGUGUUUGUUCAAUCAUUUCAGUCCGUAUAUAGUCCAUGUUGAAAUAUCCAAAACAUCUUUCUGAACAAAGGCAGUACCUUGUAAUGGUUUAGCAGUAGCUGCCUUUGUUUCGUGUACUUAAUAAUCAAUAAGAAUUGGUUGUGUGCAUCGCAAUGAUGCGGAGGCCGGGGUUUCAGCCUCCUUUUCCAAAUGAAAAGGAAAAAACUCACAAGGAAAAGAACGGCUAGCAAGGAUGAAGUAAAUAUUUUCAAGAACGAUGACAAUAAAAUGAAUUUCAGUCAAAUCUAACAACAAGACCUAGGAGGGGGUGGAAGGACUAUGAAUAUUUCCACCAAUAUUAUGCUACUCAAACAUGACACAUUUCUAUACAACUUAUCAGCUGAGGUAAAGCUUGAGCUACUUAUCUCUUCUUUAUGUAAAUAGUACUACCUCUAUUCCAACAUUUUGCAGUUCAAAUUGAACUGGGAAAACGUCUUGCAUUUAGGAAGAGAGGCUGCACUCUACUGCACAUGGAACCUAAACAUAAAAGGAAAUGCAAGCUCAAUGGAGUUAGAGUGUGUAAUGCAGAGUAUGAGAGUAAGUUUACCGAAGUUGCCAAUGCAAAUGCUUCAUUUUUCUUCAUCAGCAUCUCAGCCACUGAGCUGUAAAUCACGAGGGCCUUUGAGGGCCAUCGACAGGAGAACGUUUUUUUACGGUCCUUAUAACUGUGCACUCGCUGUCUGAAUUUUCCGGAGUACUCAAAUCAACAAGGGGAGUUCCUUCAACAAAGUUGAUAGCAGGAGUCAUGUCCAUGUUCUUGUCUUCCUUUGAAGGGGUCCCAUUAUCAUACAACGCCAUCGUAGAUGAUGCGCCCAACAGCAUGCUGGAAGGCUGGAUCGUCAUCUUAUCCUCAUCGGAACACUCCUUUCUGGUGUUUUUCUGUUGCAUGCUAGGAGUACUUGGCAGUGACACAGCUGAAAUUGGUACCACCAUAUCCACAUCACCGCUGGACGGAGUUAGUUUUGCGACAUUUACAUGUUCUUCUUCACUGCACCGAUUCACUCUGCCUUGAUCUCCCUCUAGAAUAUCCGAAGCAUUUUUUCCUGGAACGUUGGUUGUUACAUCUCCAGGUUCUCCCGUUGUCUGUGACACAGCUAAAGUUGGUAGCAUCACAUCCUCAUGAACAUUAGGCGAUCUUGGUUUUGCGACAUUUUCAUGUUCUUCGCUGCAUUGGUUUACUCUAUCCUUGUUUCCGUCUGGAAUAUUGGAAUCAUCAUUUCCUGAACAAUUGGUCGUUACAUCUCGAGGUUUAUCUUUUCCAUCUCCAGGCUCUUUGCUAUUGCUGCUAUUCCGUGUCACUCUUUUCCGUUGAGAAUAAAUCUGCAUGACUCUGUUGCCUCCCCAGUCAGGAUCAUCUUCAGAGUCUCUACUGAUUGAAACAUCUUCCUCACCAUCCCCGGAACUUUCAUCUUCAUGCUCGUCGACUGACGUGUCUUCCAUGUCCUUAGUUGCCAGCUCUGAAGUAUCAUCUGGGAGCAAGUCGACAUCCAUAUUGUCACAAUCAUUGUCCACAUUGUUAUCUUCUCUCACUGCAAGUUCAGUGCUGUUUUUGCUGGCUUCUCUGCUACAGCCUUCAAGUCCAGAUACUUCACGCAUGAACUUGGCGAGCGCAUCUGUGAUACUUGCACAAAGAGUACCAGCAGCCUUGCAUAAGACUUCCUUCUUCUACAGACAAAGACAUGUCGAAACACACACAAUCAUUAGAGGGGAAAAUGUCAAUGCCAAUGAAGAUAAUUUCCGCACAAAAAAGGUGGUGGUUACCUGUGGACAGUACUCCGGUAGGACAUUUGAUGACACAAAAUUUGCUAUUGCCGAGACGUCUCCAAGCAGGACAGAGACAGACGCACUUGAACUUGACGCGCCCCUGGAAUUGAUCUGACGAGGUGCUUCCUUUUUCAACUGCAUGUAACAUAUGAGGCAGAUGCAGAGGAUGAUCAUAAAAGUUACUCCCUCCGUUCCUCAAUACUCCUCCGUCCCAAAAUACUUGUCUUAGAUAUGAAUGUAUCUAGUCACGUUUUAGUAUUUAGAUACAUUCAUUUUUAGACAAAGUUAAAAGACAAGAAUUUUGGGACGGAGGGAGUAUAAGUCUUUGUAGAGGUUUCAUUAGGAGACUAUAUACGGAUGUAUAUAGAUAUAUUUUAAAGUAUAGAUUCAUCCAUUUUGCUUCGUAUGUAGUCACCUAGUGAAAUCUCUAAAAAGACUUAUAUUUAGGAACGGAGGGAGUACAAAAAAUAUUUGCUAUUACAGAGGAAAAAUUCCAGGAGAAGAACUCACAAAGCAUUUUCCAAAAGAACCAUUGUUCUUCAUGUCCAUCUCGAUGACUUUAUCCAUCAGCUUCCUGUCCCACGCAGAUACUCUCGGCGUGCCGUCAGGUAUUUCCAUGCCACGGACAUCGAGCGAGUCUAGGUACAGAAUCUGUAUUUUGCAAAAUAGAAUAAAAUGUGUUAAGCUAAGUUCAGUUUGCAGACAAAAUAAAAUAAAAUUGACCUGUAGCGUUCAUUCAUAUUCCUUUCUCUCAUGAAUCAUGGUGCAGAAUGCUCACCACAAGAUAGAAAAGGCAGCCCCCUGCGCUGUUCUUCUUGCCAAGGGAAGAAACGCCCUUCUCCAGCUGCUCCACAACGAAUUUGCACCAGUUGAGCUCCUUGAUGGACCCAAUGUUCACCAGCGCAGGGAAGCACCGGGGGCUGACCUUCAGGCUGCUGGUCGGGCAGAGGAAGGAUGAGAGCACGAGCAUUAUGAAAGUCCGGAGGAAGUGCUCGUCCGCCGACUUCAUCAGCUGGAUGGACUUCUCCAAGCUCGCCAUGGAGGGUGGACUGUCGACGCCGUGCUUGUCCAGCACGGAGGCGAUGCUCUCGUCGUCCAGCCCGUACACGACGUCGCGGCCGCGGUUCGGGAUGCCGAGCACCCGGUGCACGCUGUCGACGGUGACGGGGAUCCUGCCCCGGCCGGGAAUGACCAGCUCGGAGGUCUCGGUGUCGAACCGCCGAAGGAGCCAGGUGGAGAGCCUGGCGGGGACGGUGGGGCAUUGGAGCCUCAGCAGACCCCCGAAGCCGGCGCCCUCUAUCAUCUCCCGCUGCCCGGCGGUGAGGUGCGGGUACAGCUUCAUGAUCCUCGCCGGCGACGCGCGGUGCCUGAGACCCUGGAUUGGGAUUUCUCGUUAAUCAGGCAAAUACAAGAAGAAGAAAUGUAGCUGCUGGCGCUGGGUGAGGUUUUGUGCGUCGGUGACCUUGUCGUCUGGUUCAUGGCCGCGGCUGCUCCCCGCUUUCCUCUCCUUGCGCUUCCUACUGAAGCCCGACCUGCCCAUUCACGAUGACUCCGAAUCUCCGAUGGCAAUGGCAGCGAGAACCGACUAAUCUGAAAAUCUAGUUCGGGCUCGUAUUGCCCAUGCCGAUCUAGAUUAAGACCCACCAAGAAGGAAAGAAUCUAUUUCAUCAUCAAUCAGUCCAUAUAUACUGGAUCAAUCACCUUCCCUCCCUGAAGAAAAUCAAAUGCCUUCCAUCUCUGGACCAAUCAAUGCAUACUGGAUCGAGGCAUUUGUGCGAUGCAGAUAGAGAGGGAGAAAAUCAAUCACCUUCCCUCUCUGAAGAAAACCAGGUCGACCUGGAUCUGGAUGCUGGCAACAAAGGCAAGAGAGGAUACUGUCAAUGGCUCCAAGCUCAUUACUCCUGCCUCAAGAACGGCACCGCAAAACAGGGGGGCAUUUACUCCUAGGAUGCAGGAAGAACAGAGUAGGUGGAGGCAUACCUGAAACCCGAAAGGAAGGUGACGACGAGGACGAGCCCCGCAACAACUGACCGGUGAUGUGGGGAGAGAGAGGUUUCAGAAUCGUGGGAGCGUGGCGACGCAGCCCUCACCACAACGGAAACCACGACACCCGUCUACCAUUGACAGUCUGCUUCUGCAGCCUAGAUUUUCGCGCCAUCCCGGGGUGGGUGCGCUUGUGUUUCGCUAGACCCGAUGUUGUGCUGGCCCUCGCGGUUUUAAUUUUCUAACUUUAGCCCGACGGUACGUUUUUUUUUAUCUACUUUUUGCGGUUUGUGUCAACGCAUGUGUCUAACACUGAUCCAAAUCAUUUUAACGAUACAUAAAGAAAAAUUACAAAUAUUUCUAAAAAUAAAAAUAAACAUAAAUUAAACAUUACAGCGUGAGAGUCAACGCGUCCCAUUACAUUAAUUGAACAUUAAAAAAAUCUAAACUAUGCGCUACCCUAGGCAUCUUGGUCGUCUGCAUCGCGGACGGUGAUGUCGGGUUGUGCCGACAUGAGCAAUGCUGAUGGCGGCGGUGGCGGCGGUAGCGCAACACGGGCGUGCUCCUUCGCCAAGCGCAACGCCCUCCUAUGCUGGAGGUAGGUAACCUCCUCCAGACGCAGCGCACGGAGAUAGACGACGGGGGGGGCUUGCCCUUGUUUUGGGUGGAGCCGGUCUUGGUUACUGGCUAGGGUUUGGUCACCGACGAGGGAGAAGAGAGGUGGCAAGACAGGGACGGGAGUCUAGAAACAGAAGAGGCCGAACCCCAUGGCACGCUUGGAUUAAAAAGGCUGACCUCGGUCGCUGACGCGUGGGCCCAUGAAGGGUGCCCGUCAUUUUUUAAGUUGACCGCGGGGAGUUGGACGACCGACGGAUGUGGAUGGAGCGGACACCGAGAGGGCGUCCGCGACGAUGCAUUUCAAUCCGAAAUUUGGGUCGGAAAUGGGUCGGCGCGGACGCGUUUUGGUCAAAGGAUCCGCUCGUUGGGCCAUCACAUUUGUCCGCACGGAUCCAUACGAAUGACGGCGGACAAAACGGGUCACCCUAUUGGAGUUGCUUUAACAUCACAGCGGGUGAUAGUAAAAAAAUCAGAUCGAGAAAAUUUUCGAAAACAGGAUCAAUCCACACGAUGUCGUUUGAUCCCGUUGGCCCGAUGAUAUCAUCUACGUUGAUCCGAUCCCUACCGCCACAGCGAGUGGCGGUAGGAUAGGUAUGUCUAUCAUUACAGCAGGUGACGAUAGAAAAAAAUGAUUAAAUUCAAUUUUUUUCACAAACAUAAUUAGAUCGAAUUAAACUACGUCAUAGCUCAUUAAUUAAGGACAGUAAAAACGCACCUAAACCAAGCCCUCACGGCGAUUUGAGUUUUAGGCCGUCUGAUUUCAUGAUCUAGAUGUUUUUGGCCGUCGGAUCACUGUGUAAAUCCAUUUGUCUCGCGUCUGGAAAAUACUGGCCCAAUUGUCCUAUGGGCUGCUACUCCACAGACCCAAACGGAGCCCUCUGGUUAACUGGACCGGACAACCCAUUUAUCUAACCGGGAACAAACAACCCAUUACGAGUCCUCGUUGUAUUCCUUUCUCUACCAUCCACAUCAAAUGGAUCGGGGCUGCGGGCAACGCGACCGAUGCGCCGUUGUCCCGUCUUCUGCUGGGUGAUCCAGCGUGAGGAACCAGCGAACGCGUGAUGAGGGUGAUCGAUCCUCGCGCGGGAUGCGGCGUGGAGUCCCCGGCAUCCUCCCUGCUCUCGGCCGCACCAGCGCCUCCGUACGGGAUGCGCCAUGGAGACUGUGGAGUCUCCGACACCGUCUGUUCUCGCUGCUCUGUCGCUUCGCCCAUCGUGCAGCUGCCCCACGCUCCACUCCCUCCAACAAAGCGUAGCACUGCCCUCUCCUAGAAACGCUUUGCCGCCUCCUCACCUAGGCCCCUCCAUUGGCGAUCUGCGUCUUGGCCACAAAUUCCCCGCUCUGCCGUCUUCCUGAUCUGUCCACACCACUGAGCCCUUCCACGCUUCAUGCUCGCGGUGCCAGAGACACGCUAUCCUAGUAUGUGUACGUUAGCGGUAUACCAAAUUGUGAAUUUCUCUAAUAUAUGAUAUGUAGGUUCGUUUGUGUUGUGUUGUAUAAUUGUUCACAUGUUCAAUACCAAUGUGUGCUAUUUUCUACACUGUACAUCUUUUGCUCUUGGUUCUAAUCUAUCCAAGGCAAUGGACUUUUUCCGACCAAUGGUGUACUGACAUAUAGUUGCAAGGCUUACUUCACAGAAUGACAUAGUUAAAACCGAUAUGCAAACAAAUGUAUUGGAACAUGGUCUUAGAUAUGGUGUAAGCACAUUCCUGAAAUAUUGACUUUUCUGAACCAUAAAAAAUUACGAACACGAAUUGCUCCCCUUUUCCUUUCCCUGCAGCAAGCGAUGGCGGAGAUUAGGGUUUGCCGGUGGCAACAAAGAGGAGGAGGCGACUUCAAUGAUGGCAUAUGGUGGAUGCGGUGACCGUGUGUGUGUGUGUGAGAGAGAGAGGGGAAUGAGGCCACGACGACGGAUCCAACAUAAUAAGUUCCUUUUCCACCCCUCCCUUGGCUACUAGCACCACCGAACUCUUCUCUGCUUGUAGGUUCCCAUUGCUUCUAUUGGUCACUUGGU